GAAGAUCAUCGAGAACUUUUAAAGACUCAUGAGAAGCUACGCUUUGAAAAGCUCAACCUUGAGCAAGAGCAUGAGUUAUUAAAGGCAAUCAAUGAUGAUCUUCGUAAGAAAAGUUCUUCUUACAUUGCCAAGCAUUUACUCUUGUCUACUUACAUGCCACAAGUUAAAUCUAGCAACAAGAACAAGAAAGAUUCUUCCUCUAGUAGUAACAACAAUCAUGCUAAAUCCAAUGUUGUUGCCUCUAGUAGUUCUCUUGAUUCCACUAAUGAUUCUCUUAGCCAAGUUACACUUGAGCAAGAAAAUAUCUUAUUGAAGGGAAUUAUAGAGAAAGGUGUUUACAAGAGUCCUGCCGGAAGCAAGCAAUUUGAGGAAAUUGUACGCAAGCAAGGAAGACACCGGAAGAAUUAA
rnacentral:rRNA from 1 species